rnacentral:rRNA from 1 species
GACGAACGCUGGCGGCAUGCCUAAUACAUGCAAGUCGAGCGAACAGAUGAAGUGCUUGCACUUCUGACGUUAGCGGCGAACGGGUGAGUAACACGUAAGGAAUCUACCUAUAAGCGGGGGAUAACAUUCGGAAACGGGUGCUAAUACCGCAUAAUAUCUUCUUCCGCAUGGAAGAAGAUCGAAAGACGGCUCUGCUGUCACUUAUAGAUGACCUUGCGGUGCAUUAGUUAGUUGGUGGGGUAACGGCCUACCAAGACGAUGAUGCAUAGCCGACCUGAGAGGGUGAUCGGCCACAUUGGGACUGAGACACGGCCCAAACUCCUACGGGAGGCAGCAGUAGGGAAUCUUCCGCAAUGGGCGAAAGCCUGACGGAGCAAUGCCGCGUGAGUGAAGAAGGCCUUCGGGUCGUAAAACCCUGUUAUAAGAGAAGAACAAAUUGUAGAGUAACUGCUACAGUCUUGACGGUAUCUUAUCAGAAAGCCACGGCUAACUACGUGCCAGCAGCCGCCGCAG